rnacentral:lncRNA from 1 species
UUUAAUUUAUAGUCAAUCUGGAUUAGAGGUGGCAGACCAUUGUUUGCGAGCCAAUUCGUGUUCGGCUCGAAAUGAGCUCAUGUUCGAAUUGAAUUGCUCGUUUACUAAACGAGUCAAAUACGAACUGUAUUUUUCAGCUCGUUUAAUAAACGAGCCGAACAGGAGCUAGGGUCAACUUGCUCGUGUUUAGCCCGUAUACAUAUAUUUUAUAUUUAUAUAUUUUAUAUAUUUUAUAUUUUUAUUUAUAAAUAAAUAAUUAUAUAUAUAAUAUAGAUUUUCAUUAAUAUUUAAUUGUUUAGCUCAACCUAAAUAUAAAGCCCAUCUCAAUUAUAAAAAAACUUCGGGUUAAUUUUAUUUGUACCCUCACAAAACUAUGAAACAUCAUAAAUACCCUUCAAAUUUUUAAAAUUUCACAAAUACUCUCUAAAUACAAUAUUUCUUUCAUAAAUACCCUUACCGUUACUAUUUUGCUAACUUCCGUUAACUCAACAUUUUUUUACUUUACUUUAAAAUAUAAAAUUACCAUUUUACCCUUUGUUCACUAUUUCUUUAGA